rnacentral:sRNA from 1 species
GCUCGCCAUGCAUAAUGCUGGAGUCCACGGGUGUAACUCGAGCUCAGCACUAAAUAUAGCCAGAGCUAUCACGGGAGGCGCCCAUACAUGUCAGCCCCGUUCAGUGUCUACAAACCGCGCCCUCAGCUGCAGACACAGGGCAGGCAUCUGCAUUGCUUUCCUGAGAGGUCAUUUUGAAAUGGAAACUGUCACUGAAAGCUGGGGUGACCUGGGUCAGCAAGAAACCAGUGCUUAUCACAGCCACACCCCUGCUUCGUCUCUGGUAUGCCCAGACGGUGCAGGGGCUGAGGGAGAAGCAAACCUCUUCUGCUCUCGCCUGCCAAAGAAAUCAAUCACACAGCCCCAGAGAGCUCAGCGUUAUAUACCAUUGUGCACUGCUGGGCAUAGAAAGCACAGCCUCUCUGCAUGAAUGACACUUUCAGUCUCCAAGUGGUGUUUGCACCGAGAGGAUCCAUAGAGAUAAAGAAGAUAAACAGGUUGG